rnacentral:SRP_RNA from 1 species
GCCAGGUGUGGUGGUGCGUGCCUGUAGUCCCAGCUACUAGGGAGGCUGAGGCAGGAGAAUCACUUGAGCUCAGGAGGUCGAGGCUGCAGUGAGCUGAGAUGGUACCACUGCACUCCAGCCUCAGCGAAAGAGUGAGACCCUGUCUCAA